ACUCCUACGGGAGGCAGCAGUGGGGAAUAUUGCACAAUGGGGGAAACCCUGAUGCAGCCAUGCCGCGUGUGUGAAGAAGGCCUUCGGUUGUAAAGCACUUUCAGUAGGGAGGAAGGUAGUGUAGUUAACACCUGCAUUAUUUGACGUUACCUACAGAAGAAGCACCGGCUAACUCCGUGCCAGCAGCCGCGGUAAUACGGAGGGGUGCGAGCGUUAAUCGGAAUUACUGGGCGUAAAGCGCAUGCAGGCGGCCUGUUAAGUCAGAUGUGAAAGCCCGGGGGCUUAACCUCGGAAUUGCAUUUGAAACUGGCAGGCUAGAGUCUGUAGAGGGGGUAGAAUUUCAGGUGUAGCGGUGAAAUGCGUAGAGAUCUGAAGGAAUACCAGUGGCGAAGGCGGCCCCCUGGACAAAGACUGACGCUCAGAUGCGAAAGCGU
rnacentral:rRNA from 1 species